CCUACGGGAGGCAGCAGUGGGGAAUUUUGGACAAUGGGCGCAAGCCUGAUCCAGCAAUGCCGCGUGAGUGAAGAAGGCCUUCGGGUUGUAAAGCUCUUUUGUCAGGGAAGAAACGGUGGUUCCUAAUACGGACUACUAAUGACGGUACCUGAAGAAUAAGCACCGGCUAACUACGUGCCAGCAGCCGCGGUAAUACGUAGGGUGCAAGCGUUAAUCGGAAUUACUGGGCGUAAAGCGUGCGCAGGCGGUUAUAUAAGUCAGAUGUGAAAUCCCCGGGCUCAACCUGGGAACUGCAUUUGAGACUGUAUGGCUAGAGUGUGUCAGAGGGGGGUAGAAUUCCACGUGUAGCAGUGAAAUGCGUAGAUAUGUGGAGGAAUACCGAUGGCGAAGGCAGCCCCCUGGGAUAACACUGACGCUCAUGCACGAAAGCGUGGGGAGCAAACAGGAUUAGAUACCCUGGUAGUCCACGCCCUAAACGAUGUCUACUAGUUGUCGGGACUUAAUUGUCUUGGUAACGCAGCUAACGCGUGAAGUAGACCGCCUGGGGAGUACGGUCGCGAAGAUUAAAACUCAAAUGAAUUGACGG
rnacentral:rRNA from 1 species